UACGGAGGAUGCAAGCGUUAUCCGGAAUCAUUGGGCGUAAAGCGUCCGUAGGUGGCUGUUCAAGUCUGCGGUCAAAGCACAAGGCUUAACCUUGUAAAGGCCGUGGAAACUGAAGAGGCUAGAGUGCGGUAGGGGUAGAGGGAAUUCCCAGUGUAGCGGUGAAAUGCGUAGAUAUCGGGAGGAACACCUGUGGCGAAGGCGGCCCCCUGGUUGGAUACUGACGCUGAGGUGCGAAAGCGUGGGGAGCAAACAGG
rnacentral:rRNA from 1 species